AGUGUAGAUUCAGAGUUUGAUCCUGGCUCAGGAUGAACGCUGGCGGCGUGCUUAACACAUGCAAGUCGAACGAAGCACUCUGAUAUCUUCGGGUGGAAGAGUGACUGAGUGGCGGACGGGUGAGUAACGCGUGGGUAACCUGCCUCAUACAGGGGGAUAACAGUUAGAAAUGACUGCUAAUACCGCAUAAGCGCACGAUACCGCAUGGUAUUGUGUGAAAAACUCCGGUGGUAUGAGAUGGACCCGCGUCUGAUUAGCUAGUUGGUGAGGUAACGGCUCACCAAGGCGACGAUCAGUAGCCGACCUGAGAGGGUGACCGGCCACAUUGGGACUGAGACACGGCCCAA
rnacentral:rRNA from 1 species